AAAGACACAGCUGAGCGAGUGUUUCCUUCUAGACUGCUCCUUUUACAAACCAGAACACAAGAGGAGGAGUCUGGCAGAUGGGAAUGACAGAGACCAGCUGUAUGUUUCCUUUUCUCUUACACUGCCGGCCAAAUUGCCCUCCAUCCCCCUCCUAACACCCACAGCCCCUCUCUCAGCAUCCUAACGCCUCCACAAUGCUGGACAUUUUCAUUUUGAUGUUUUUUGCUAUUAUCGGUCUGGUUUUGCUUUCCUACAUCAUCUACAUCUUAUAAGAGGCUACGAUGGGCCUAGGAAUCGCUUAUCACUUGCUUGCAGGUGAGUAUCUGGUUUUCAUUUACUUAUAAACAAACAGCUCAGAAUUCACCUCUGCAUCCUAAUACAUACACAAAAAGCACAGAGCUUCGUAUUCGUUAUAAUGUAUUUGUAUAAUGUAGCUAUAACUACUUGCUGUGAGAAUACCAUGAAAUCUAGACUCCUUCCUUCAUCCUCCUGUAAAACUCAGUAUACCAAUUAGAGUAUUUUUAUUAUGACAUCCCACGCAUCAGGUCUUUUUCUUUUGUUCCAUACUUUUAAAAUCACAUCCUGUUUUAGUUGCAUGCACUGUUCAAUUAACUUAUAAAAAGCACAUUAAUACAUUUGAAAAAAAAAGAAAAAAAAAGAAAACCGCUAUAUGUUGUUUAUAUUUGUUUAUUUUUAAUGCCCAGAAAGAAUUUUAGAUCUAUCGGUUUAUCCAAAACCAAAUCAGUCAAAAUCCAAAUAGAUUGAAAUAUUGCAGUAUUUAGUCUAACUUUUACUAGAGUUAAAUUAAAGUUGUCAUUCACAACACGAGUGAAUGUCAAUUCGCCAGCUGGUUAGUAUAUCUCAAAUCUAUCAGGGUUAUUCACUAAUCUAUGAAAUUAUACAUACUAAAUCUGAAUGGCAAAAUGGAGUUGUGAGUAAUGUGGAGUUGGAUCAUUUUUCCAGAUCAGCUAUUUUUGCCUCGUUUUUUCUAUGCAUAGCAAAAAUGGGGAACAUGCUUUUCUCAGAAGUGGUACCACCAUAGACACCAAAAAGUACUUAAAAUACAAAUGAAAUACGUAGUGGUUGGCUUAAAACAGUAUGGCCAUAUGCAGUGGUGUAUCCUGGUUUUGUGCUGCCCUACCCGCCCCCUCCCCACACCCCCCCCUCCCCUGCGCGCGCGACCCCCACCCAUCCCUUCCCCCCGCCCCGCCUUCUAAAUACACACACAUACUGACAGAUACGCAUACACUAGCUAACAGAAACACAAACUCACUGACACACACAGACAAACACUAGCAGACACACACACACUCACUGACACACACACUCAUUGGCAAACAUACACACACAGUCAGACACACACAAACACACUCACUCACUAGCAGACACACACACUCACUGACACACACACUCACAGGCAAACACACUCACACUAACAGUCAGACACAUACACUCACUAACAGACACACUCACUAACAGAGACAAACACACUAACAGACAUACACACUAACAGACACACACACUCACUAAUAGACACACACACACUCACUCACAUUAACACAUGUAUUUUUUUUAAUCCCUCCAGCCUCCUUACCUUUGGGAAUGCUGGGGGUGGGGGUUCUCUCUCUACCUGGGGUCCAGUGGCUGCUGGGCUGGGCGGGCGGCUGGCGAGGGAGCACUUCCUCUGAGCGGACUGCUCAGCUCCCUCGCACGCUGCACAGUGAGGCUGGGAGCCGGAAGAUGGCGUCAUAUUCCUGCUCCCAGCCUCACUCUGCGGCGCGCGAGGGAGCUGAGCAGACCGCUCAGAUGAAGUGCUCCCUCGCCAACCGCCCACCCGACCAUCAGCCAGCGCCGCCCGCUAGCCCAGCAUGUCAGUUAGCCGCAAGGCUAACUAGGCAUUUGCCCUGGGCAUUUGGGGGGCGGCUUUUUUUGCCGCCCCCUGAAAAAUGCCGCCCAAAAUGCCGCAAAUGCCUUGUUUGCCUCGCGGCUAAAACUCCCCUGGCCAUAUGGUUGAACUGAAUCCCCAUGUUUGUUUGCUAAGAUAGGUCAUUUUAAGUAGCUGUGUAACACAUUAAACUGUAUUUUUAUGUUUUUUGUUCCUUAAUCUGUAUUUUGUAUCAGUUUUUCCAGUUAUGAAAAUUUGCAGUUUGAAGUGCACACUGAAGCUAGGAAUUCUGGGAUGCCAUAUGCAUAAUUAUUGGGCAGGUGGCCUUCCUGGAUGGAAAAUGUAAAGUAGAGGUAAUGUUUAGCUAAGGAUAUUUUUCCUAUUCAUUUGCUAUCCAGAAGUGUAACUCCCACCAAAACCAUGGGUUUGGUGGAACAAGAUGUUUUUCCUCAAAUGUUUCUGACACAUACAUAGCCGUGUCUGUUUUGUACAACACACUUUCCAUGCAUUUUAUAUAGGUUAACGUAACUAUAAUGUUAGUUCUUGUAUCACAACCAAUGUUCUUACUUAGUUUAGUAAAUUCUUGCACCAAGGCAGGGCUCUUAAACUGCUAUAGAUUGAAAACCAGAAGAAAAAGUUCCUUAUUCCUGGCUAUAGAUUAAAAAUCGGAAGAAAACGUUCCUUAAUCCUGGCUAUAGAUUAAAAAUCGGAAGAAAACGUUCCUUAAUCCUGGCUAUGGAAGCAUUAAUGCUGAGAAAUACACAGAAGUAAUAACAGAAGUAUUGAAAAGAAAAAAAAUUAAGGGCAUCCCAGAGCAGACACAUUUUAAAGGGACACUCCAGAUGCCUAUAGAGUGUUUCCUUUUUUCAUUUUACAAAAAGUUUUUUCUAAAUUACCUUGUGACACCCUUCAGCUGUCAAUUAGACAACUGGUCAGUUACUUCCUGGUAAUUAAGCUCAGUGGAGCUAAACUCAAGAGGCAGGUAAUUACCCAGAGCAGCUGCCUUGCAAAGACUUCUAAUUGUGCUGCAUUGGGAACUCUGUGAUUGGACAGUCAUCUCCUAAUUCCAGAAUCCCUUUCAGGUUCAUAUCUUUAGGACAUGGAUACAUUUAUUAUAACCACACUGGUGUUUUCCAGUCACCAGACAUGAUUAGAUAGUUCUUGGAAAUGUUUUUGUUUAUUAUCUCAUAACAAGAGGCCUAUUGGCCUGGGAAUAAAUCUAUUCUAGCAUCUGGUAAAAUUACAUUUUGGUAAAUUACAUUGAAUACUAAAUCUCUACUUCCCUGUGGCAACUGUGUAUCUGCAACAGCAAUUCUGAUUUCUGUCUAUACUGUAUACAAACUGUCUUGCACAAAAGGACAUCAACAUUUUGGUGCCUGGUACUCUGUUCGAGAAAAUCAUGAAUGUGUCUAGGGAACAACACGCUAGGGAAGAAUAUUUUGUAAUAAAAUGAAAACAAUGAUGUGAAAUAGUGUUGCUUGAAGUCCCAAGAGUGCUUAUCUCUAGAUAUAUAAUGUUUACAUAUAUAUUUCAACAGGAUCAUGUUCUCUUUAAAUCUGGUAUAGACACAACAUCCUUUUAUACACACACUGCACCACCUACACACACAAUCCUGCACCCUAUACACACUCUGGAUCCUGUAAGCACACUAAAUCACCUAUAGACACACACAGUACCACCGAUACACACACUACAUCCCUAAACACGCUCUGGAUCCCUUAUGCACAUACUAG